GGGAAACGUAGGGUCGUAAUACCGGAUAUGACGAUGGUUUGGAUGCCAUUGUGGAAAGUUUUUUCGGUGUGGGAUGAGCUCGCGGCCUAUCAGCUUGUUGGUGGGGUAAUGGCCUACCAAGGCGACGACGGGUAGCCGGCCUGAGAGGGUGUACGGCCGCAUUGGGACUGAGAUACGGCCCAG
rnacentral:rRNA from 1 species